AUAACCACCCCCACCCCGGGCAUCAGGUCAGGACACCGGGCUCUAUAGCAGCGGGCAGGGUAGGGAAACCCAGGGGCGAGGAGGGGCCCAUGGAAGUGAAGUUUGGAAGCCAAGACGCUUUGGACCAUUAAGAAUUCAAGAAUACCAAUCUUCAGAAUCCUAGAACCAUAAAAUUCUCAGUCUGGGGAUCUGAGAUUCCUACAGCCUGAGAUUCCUGAGGUCCAGAAUCCUAACAACACUCUAGAAUCCUAGAGUCCUAGACAAAUGAAUGGAGAGAUCCAAAGUAGAGAUGUAGCCCUCCCAGUCCCUCAUCCUGUCACACCCAGGAGCAUGUUCUCUCCAGGGCUAGAUGAUGAGAACAACAGUCUUUGAGCAUCAAUGAACUGGAAAAGACUUCACAGUAACAGACUCAGAAUUACGGGCAAGGCAGCACAACAGCGCCAGGCUCAAAACCCAAGUCUUGGAUCCUAGUCCGUUGCUCUUCCUGGUCAGCAACUAGGGUAGACGCAGAAGAAUCGUCACAGGCGCCCCCAAGAUACAGACACCUGGGCCCAAGGAUCUCCCUUCAUGGACAGCAAAUAGCAGAAUCACAAGGUCCCUUGGAAAGAGUCAGAAAUCCUGCGUCCAACUCAGGUUCACUACUGCCAUCUACUGACCAUGGCAAGGAGAAAACAUUCAGCCACCAAGAGGCUGGGCCCCCAGGGAGGAUUUGCAGCACCUUCAGCCUAGAGAACUGAACCCAGGAUCUUCUCCCUGUUAGAAGUUUCUACUACCACCCUGAGCCCCCAGGACCUGACUGAUCCCCCAGGAAGCCCAGUCCUUAGGGAGAUGAAGAACCUGGGCCUGGAUCAGGAAAAGCCAUUCAAGUUUCAAACCUGCUACAGGACCCGUGAGAGUCCACAGACGCAUGCGCUCUGUAGGUGCCAUGCAACACAGGCGGGGGGGAUGCGGAGCCGAGGAAGACUGGGAUGCCCGUCAUCGCUUGACUGCAUCAAGCAAUAGGGUGAUGGGGUUAAAACACUGAGGAGCGCAAGUUAAGGGUAAACUGACAUGGCAAACAUGCGGGCACAGAACCAUGCUGUUCUGCACGGGGCAGUCAUGCAACACGAGGCAGCUUCAGGCUGGAUGCUCGGUCUUCUUACACGUGGCCCAGGGCCCUCUGAGCAUGCAGUGCUCGCAUGGGCCCAGGUCUCCAUGAAGCUCCA